rnacentral:lncRNA from 1 species
CCAAAGGCAGUUUUUGCGUUGUCUGGAGGUGCUGGAGGGGUUUUGAUAUAGAAGUAACUCUCCUGAAUUCAUUUCAUCCUGAAGAGAUCUUGAGACCAAAUAUAAAAGGCCAAAAGCUUAUUCCAUCUGGAAGGUCAGAAUUCCUUCAGUUUUGACCAGAGGAUUAAGACAUCCCAGAGUCUUGCACUAAGGAGACAGGAAGCUCCCUACAAAUGUCUCCUGGGGACUGGUGUGUAUUUU